UACGUAGGGUGCAAGCGUUAAUCGGAAUUACUGGGCGUAAAGCGUGCGCAGGCGGUUGUGCAAGACAGAUGUGAAAUCCCCCGGGCUUAACCUGGGAACUGCAUUUGUGACUGCACGGCUAGAGUGUGUCAGAGGGGGGUAGAAUUCCACGUGUAGCAGUGAAAUGCGUAGAUAUGUGGAGGAAUACCGAUGGCGAAGGCAGCCCCCUGGGAUAACACUGACGCUCAUGCACGAAAGCGUGGGGAGCAAACAGG
rnacentral:rRNA from 1 species